rnacentral:rRNA from 1 species
UGGGAUGGCUGUCGUAAGUUAACGCGUUAAGUAUCCCGCCUGGGGAGUACGACCGCAAGGUUAAAACUCAAAGGAAUUGACGGGGGAGCGCACAAUCGGUGGAUCAUGUGGUUUAAUUCGAUACAAACCGAAGAACCUUACCCAGACUUGACAUAUACCUGCACGCUUUGUGAAAGCAGAGUUCCUUCGAGGGUGGUAUACAGGUGCUGCAUGGUUGUCGUCAGCUCGUGUCGUGAGAUGUCCGCUUAAGUGCGGUAACGAGCGCAACCCCUGCCGUAUGUUACAUAUCAUGCGGGACUGCCGUGCAACAAGCGCGGAGGAAGGAGGGGAUGAUGUCAAAUCAGCAUGGCCCUUACGUCUGGGGCUACACACAUGAUACAAUGGGAUGGACAACAGGUUGCGACGGGGUAACCCUGAGCUAAUCCUUAAACCAUUCCUCAGUUCGGAUUGCAGGCUGCAACUCGCCUGCAUGAAGUCGGAAUCGAUAGUAAUCGCGUGUCAGCAUAGCGCGGUGAUACGUUCUCGCUCCUUGUACACACUGCCCGUCAAGCCAGCGAAGCCGGUAAUGCCCGAAG